rnacentral:rRNA from 1 species
GACGAACGCUGGCGGCGUGCUUAACACAUGCAAGUCGAACGGAAAGGCCCUGCUUUUGUGGGGUGCUCGAGUGGCGAACGGGUGAGUAACACGUGAGUAACCUGCCCUUGACUUUGGGAUAACUUCAGGAAACUGGGGCUAAUACCGGAUAGGAGCUCCUGCUGCAUGGUGGGGGUUGGAAAGUCUCGGCGGUUGGGGAUGGACUCGCGGCUUAUCAGCUUGUUGGUGGGGUAGUGGCUUACCAAGGCUUUGACGGGUAGCCGGCCUGAGAGGGUGACCGGCCACAUUGGGACUGAGAUACGGCCCAGACUCCUACGGGAGGCAGCAGUGGGGAAUAUUGCACAAUGGGCGGAAGCCUGAUGCAGCAACGCCGCGUGCGGGAUGACGGCCUUCGGGUUGUAAACCGCUUUCGCCUGUGACGAAGCGUGAGUGGCGGUAAUGGGUAAAGAAGCACCGGCUAACUACGUG